rnacentral:rRNA from 1 species
AGUGAACGCUGGCGGUAGGCCUAACACAUGCAAGUCGAACGGCAGCACAGUAAGAGCUUGCUCUUACGGGUGGCGGGUGGCGGACGGGUGAGGAAUACAUCGGAAUCUACUUUUUCGUGGGGGAUAACGUAGGGAAACUUACGCUAAUACCGCAUACGACCUACGGGUGAAAGCAGGGGAUCUUCGGACCUUGCGCGAUUGAAUGAGCCGAUGUCGGAUUAGCUAGUUGGCGGGGUAAAGGCCCACCAAGGCGACGAUCCGUAGCUGGUCUGAGAGGAUGAUCAGCCGCACUGGAACUGAGACACGGUCCAGACUCCUACGGGAGGCAGCAGUGGGGAAUAUUGGACAAUGGGGGCAAGCCUGAUCCAGCCAUACCGCGUGGGUGAAGAAGGCCUUCGGGUUGUAAAGCCCUUUUGUUGGGAAAGAAAAGCAGCAGGUUAAUACCCCGCUGUUCUGACGGUACCCAAAGAAUAAGCACCGGCUAACUUCGUG